GUCUAUCAACAGAAGGUCCAGAUUCUAUUGGGGUAAGGGCGUGUUUGGUUAGGUGAUUUCAAAUAUCAACAUUGGCUUUCAAACAGCAUGGACUCCGCCUUUAACUUGUGGUUACUGGUUAAAAUGGUUUUAACUGUUGUAAAACCAUGGAUACCACAAAAUAACCAUAGUUUUGACAACCAUGUUUUUCAAAAACCAUUACACCACGGUUACUGUAGUAAAACCAUGGUUUUGCUAGUAAUCAAUACACCUAACAUGGUUACACUUUUACCACAAUAAAACCAUGGCAUGCAUGGUUAAUUUGCGGUUACCAUGGUUUAACUACAUCCACCAUGUUUUUAUUUUAUUUCAUUUGUAGUAAACCCAUGGUUAAGUUUCAUAGGGACAGUCAGUGGAACGGUCAAUGAAGUGUAACGUUAACGAUCUUGAUACCGGACGCUUCGUUGUCACGCAUCAUCGAAUAAAUAGUUAAAUCACGUACCGUUAAGCUUGUACUUUGACAUGAUAUUAUCGUAUUUCUCUGUUUUUACAUGAUAGUAUAUAAUUUCUUACUUACCUUAAAAUUAUCAAUUCGCUUACUUACUUUAAAAUUAUCAAUUCGCACAUUUAUUUCCAACCAGCUAGUCGCCAUGUUGUGAACGUACUAGACGGUUCGGCUCUCUGAUUGGCUGAACGUAGACUCUGAGCCAAUGACGGGUCGUAACUGUCUACGUUCAACGUAUGUUAGACGUUUGCACUUAAUUGGAAAAAGAUGACACAUGGGUGCUACUAUGGCCAUCGUUAGGUCACAAAGCUUAAAGAUACGAUCAGAUUUUCUCCAGUGGUUAGAUAGAAACGACUGCAGAUUUUAUUUUGUUUGUUGAGAAUGUGAGAGCCAGAGAUGCAUCGAUCAGUAAAGCUGCUUCUCAGAUACAGCCUUCAACUGACACGGAUAAGGAAGGACUGGAAUCUGGAGUCCAUUCCCGAGCGACCACAUUCAACAUAACAAACCAUGUCAUUGCCAAUCAGCGAAAAGACAGCACUGCAUAGCACAAAGAAAAAAGUAGAAAUGCGAACACAGGACAAACUCCUUAGGGAAAACUGAACAUGCAGUGCUGUAGGAAUGCAGUCUUCCUACACAUCCUGACGUUCCUGUCUUUUGGGCCACAAAUUCUCAUCCUCAUCACAAUGAAUAUCUUCUCUUGCGAUGCAGCAUGGAAAGAUUCUUUUAUAGUCUUAUCCAGCCUCUGAAGGCAUCUGUUUUGAUGUCAUCAUCACAUGCUGCAUCCAUUCCAGCCAGAAGGUUCAUCAUUGUAUGUGGCUGGGGAUCAUAUAAUUUCUAUCUCCAUGCUGAGAAAAAUACCUCAGUGGUGUUAAGGAAUGGAAAGUAGGGUGAGAGAAACUCCAUCAGCAUCCUGUUGUGGACCGCAAACAAUUGCCUGAUGAUUUUGGACCAAUGAAACUGACAUUGGCCCAAACUAUCACGUACUUUGGCAGGUCAUCUCCAAUCUGACCCUUCUCCUGUUCAGGGAUGCAAUCCCUGUAAAGAGUAUCUAAAAAGGUGACAAGACACACUGUAUUGUAUGUCCCAGUACAAUUUUGUCCCAUUUCACACAUUGUAACAUUGUGUUGUGCUCCUGCUAUAUAUAGUCUAAUGGAAAUGUAUAGACAUAUGCUUGACUUAUUAUGACAACUUGUUCAACCAUUUUGCAUGUAAAGACUUAUAGUAUGAACCAGUGGCAGCUGGUGACUUCUUUUUUUUUUUAAGCUCACGAUGCAAAGUUUGUCACAACAUGUAUGUAGCUUGUCAUGUGUGUGGUUUGUCAUUUUAAAAUAUGUGUUCUGUGUAUUGAAAGAUCGUGUGUGCAUCACGUGUCAUGCCAAAAUAAGUGCCUGCUGCCUUGAACUUGAAAGGAGACGCUCGUGUGUGCCAGAUAUUCGCACAAUCUCAUGCGUAAUCAGAGUUUACUGUUAAAGGAGUGUCUUGCGUGUAUUUAGGGAACGCGAGCGUCUCUUUUAUCAUAAACGGUUUUGAUGCGUCUCCAGCAGGCACUUAUUUUGACAAAACACGUGAUGCACACAGAAUCUCUCCACACGCAUGACACACAUUUUGGAAAAGGGAACCACACACGUGAAAAUCCGAACACUUAUUAUGAAUUAGCGCAUCCUCGGAAGUGCAGUCACGAGCUGUCACUGCUAUUAACUGAUGCCUAAAUGUUGUGGGGGGUGAGACUAUUCAACAGAGACCCAUUAUAAUACAUUUUGAUCAACAUGACUUAACCAAUUGAUUAUGUAGGAAACAGCAGAAAAUUGUACAUAAUCAUUUGCAUGGAUGUACCAAAGCAUUUGCAACUUGUUCAAAGAAAUGAGAAACUGCUUUUUUAUGUGCACAAGUGACAUAAUGAUGUUAGAAUUGAACAGGUAGUUUUGAGAAUUUCAAUUCUUAUCUGAGAAAUGUACCAAAGUGACUGAGAAAAACUGUAACUAUUUAAUAUGCGUGAAGGAUUUUAAGCAAUGAAAAAAACUUUUGUUUGUAUCAUGCAUUAAAAUAUAUGACCAUUGAUAUUUUUGAUGAUUUAAAUAAAAUGUCCAUUCAAUCUGAGCCUGUCUGUGUUUUACUCUCGACUAAUAGUCUUAUUCUUUUAACAUUACUGGUAAUUAACAUAGUGCCAUCUAGUGGUUUUAAAUGAAUAACACAAUAGGUUUAAAUGUAUUAAUACAAAAUAGCAUCUAUACAUACUGUAAAAUACAUUUUAAAAAGUAGCAAUA